UACGGGGGGAGCAAGCGUUGUUCGGAUUUACUGGGCGUGAAGGGCGCGUAGGCGGUCAGCACAAGUCAGUUGUGAAAUCUCCGGGCUUAACUCGGAAAGGUCAACUGAUACUGUGCGACUAGAGUGCAGAAGGGGCAACUGGAAUUCUCGGUGUAGCGGUGAAAUGCGUAGAUAUCGAGAGGAACACCUGCGGCGAAGGCGGGUUGCUGGGCUGACACUGACGCUGAUGCGCGAAAGCGUGGGGAGCAAACGGG
rnacentral:rRNA from 1 species